GAUGAACGCUGGCGGCGUGCCUAAUACAUGCAAGUCGAGCGAACAGACGAGGAGCUUGCUCCUCUGACGUUAGCGGCGGACGGGUGAGUAACACGUGGAUAACCUACCUAUAAGACUGGGAUAACUUCGGGAAACCGGAGCUAAUACCGGAUAAUAUAUUGAACCGCAUGGUUCAAUAGUGAAAGACGGUUUUGCUGUCACUUAUAGAUGGAUCCGCGCCGCAUUAGCUAGUUGGUAAGGUAACGGCUUACCAAGGCAACGAUGCGUAGCCGACCUGAGAAGGUGAUCGGCCACACUGGAACUGAGACACGGUCCAGACUCCUGCGGGAGGCAGCAGUAGGGAAUCAUCCGCAAUGGGCGAAAGCCUGACGGAGCAACGCCGCGUGAGUGAUGAAGGUCUUCGGAUCGUAAAACUCUGUUAUUAGGGAAGAACAAAUGUGUAAGUAACUAUGCACGUCUUGACGGUACCUAAUCAGAAAGCCACGGCUAACUACGUG
rnacentral:rRNA from 1 species